rnacentral:lncRNA from 1 species
AUUAAACUGAAAGUACAGUUAAAAUAAAAAAUGAUUAGAGUUAUCUCCCCUUGCAUAUUUUAAGGAAGUAUAUGGAAACAAAAUAAAGUAACUACAUCUAUAUCAAGUAAGUUAAUUAUCUCCCUUUAAAUAUUUCAGAUCACGAAUAUCUUCCUUUAUGCACAUUCUAUGGUCAUGUACUUCAACUGUGUAAAGUUUCAUUAAUAUUGCUACAGUCAUUUAGGAGGAGUUGUGCUUA